rnacentral:lncRNA from 1 species
UCUGUGCUCUCUUUUUGUUUAACUACUUCCUUCCCUUGCUUUGGUGCCCAUUACUUCUUCCAUGGUUUAGGCAUGAAGUUCUGAUGGCAAAGUCAUUAUUUACCUUCCCCUCAUUCCAUUCCAAGCAUCUCUUCUUUUAUUUAAUUUCUUCUCUUGCCACAGAUUCUUUUUCCUUCGCAUACCUUACCCACUGUUCAUUUCUUUUUUGCUGAUUCAAGUUGAAAUUUACUUCCUGACCACUCUUCCCCAUAAAAUUUUUAGUUCAAGUAUCUAUUUGCCAAUUACUGUACUAGGCAGUGGGGACAGAAUACCACACAUAACAGGCCGGUGCAGUGGAGGAGGUAGACAUUAAACAGUGAAUCCCAAUACAAUAUGAUAAAAGAUCAAGCAGCAUUUUAGUGUGCUACGGUAACAAAUAAUUGGGACAUAAUUUAAUUUGGGAAGAGCAGUCAGGAAAAUCCUUCCUGUGGAAAAAAAAAUUAAAUAGGGACCCAAGAGACAGAAUAAGAGUUUUUUAGAUGAAGAAGAUGGAAUAAGUGUGGUCUAUA